AUUCCAGCUCCAAUAGCGUAUAUUAAUGUUGUUGCAGUUAAAAAGCUCGUAGUUGAAUUUCUGGUUAAAAUCUUAGCUGGCUUUGGUCGUUAAUGUUUUAAUCAUCCGUUAGAGAACUAUAACCGUCCUUAACUGGUCAUUAUAGAGAUCUAACAUUUUACUUUGAAAAAAUUAGAGUGUUCAAGGCAGGCAAUCGUCAUGAAUACUAAAGCAUGGAAUAAUGGAAUAGGACUUUGGUUCAUUUUAUUGGUUAUUGAACCUUAGUAAUGAUUAACAGGGACAGUUGGGGGCAUUAGUAUUUAAUUGUCAGAGGUGAAAUUCUUGGAUUUAUUAAAGACUAACUUAUGCGAAAGCAUUUGCCAAGGAUGUUUCCAUUA
rnacentral:rRNA from 1 species